AAUUUCCCCUAUAUCCACUCAAAUCAGAUCUAAUUGUUCUCUAUCAAUUCUUAUCGAUAUAUAACAAAAUCUUUGCAUCACCAUCGCACCACCACACCACCUAUUGAGAAUGCCUUUCAUCCUCGUUCAAUUGCCCCUUCAACAACACGUAUGGAUGUUAGGUUCAAGAUGAUUUAUUGUAAUGAGUUUGCUUUACUCGCAGGCCAUGACUCAACAGACGCUCUCAUUUCUUUCCGGUGAACGCCAUGGUUUGGUAUUUUUUUAUUAUUCUUCGUCGUUUUCAAAACCCUAGUUUUUUGUGCCUUUUUGUUUCUAUCAGGUUUAUGUUUGUUUGGAUUUGGUAAUUUUAAUAAUCUGUCUGUAUUAGAAAAUGAUUAGGGCACUUUCUUUGAAUCUGCGACUGUUAAUUAAGUAAUUAGUGUGCAUAGGUGAUGGACUAACAAAACAUUUCAGGCUAGUUUUUCUUUACUUUUAGUCAGAUGCAUGUUAUUUUUGUUAAUUGUUGGAAGGGCGAAACUGUGAAGUGGUUGAAGAAAUUGAAUACGUCUACUUGCUAUUUGGCUCUGUUUGUUUGGUGGGGUUGUUUAUUGAAUUAAAAUAACUAAUAAUAUCCUCAAAACCCAAGAGAUUGAUAACAAUCUUUCGAUGUAGUUUUGCUUGCCCAAUGAUGUGGUUAAUCAUCUGAAUAAAUGGAGAAUUAUGUGCUAUAUUUUACAUUUAAAUACUCUAUAAGUGCUAGUGAUUCUCUGCAAAUAUGCAAAUCAAAACAUACAUAAGAUGUUUUGUCUAGAUUAAUAAUUUGUGUUCAUGUGUGGAAUAUCAAUGACUUUGACAUGAACAAGAGAUUUGGUUUUCGAUUACACGAAUAAGAGAUUUGCCUUUUGGCCUUACAUUGGAUUAUAUAAAUCAGAGAUGCAACUUUGAUGAAGCCAUAUUAUUGAUAUUUAUAUUUUUUAUUUAAUGAUCAUCAACAAGGGGCAGUAAUGGUUAAUUUAAAUGUUGAAGGUUCAUAAUUUAAAUGUUGUACUUUUGACCAUUUUGUUGGGUGUUUUACCAUCUACUAGGGGUGCAAAUGAGCCGAGUCUGAGCUUGACUAACUCGAUUCAAGUUUUGUUUCUAAACCUCAAGCUCGGCUCAUAGGCAUAUUGUACGUUACACUUUCACUAUAUAUAUGAUUAUUUAAAUAUAUAUUAAUGACAGAUUAUAUAAACAGUAAGCUUGCCAGGCUCGCUAGCUGGGUCAGAUUUGGUAAGCGAAGCUCGGGCUCGUUUACUAAACAAGCUUGUUUAUAGGCUUGUUUAAGCUUGGCUUGUCCGAUUUUUUUUUGAGUUGAGCUCGAGUAGCUUGGCUCGUUUGCACUCCUACCAUUUACUCUAGUCUAGCUUGUUUUGGUCCUUCGCUAGGCAAAAGAGGGUUUGUAUUUUCUGAUACGAUGGAGGGCGUGGAUUUAUGGAGGUGAACGAAUUUGGUGUGGAGUGAAUACAUGUUUAGGGAUUAGAAGAUAAUACAUGAUAUUCAAAGUUCAAACAAAACAUUAUCAGAGAUCUUCGUGUCCGGUAGGAUUGCUCCGCCCUUAGUGGUGUCUCUUCCAUCAGGAGAACUGCUUCUAGGGAAGGUACUUGACAUUCUCAGUUACUUUCCAUCAUUAGAGAUUGUACUGUGGCAUAUUUUUUUCUUAGCAUUUAUAGAAAAGUUAAAUAAUUUUGUGAAGAUUAGAAGGUGUUUUGCAGGGGAUGGAGAUGAACCAGUAUGGUUAGUAGGUCAGGUUUUCCUUUACUUGUGCAUUUUGUGGCCCGAGCUAGAUAAGUCUUAAUUAGUGGGGAAAGGAAAAAAAAGGCGAUGAAAGAAAAAAGCCACCUGAAUAUGUGAAGAUUAAAACCUACUUCAAAAGUUCGGUUGAGACAUGAUGAAGAUAAUGGUUUCUUGUUGUUCGCGACAACUCGGGCACCAAGAGAAUUCACGAAGAAUGAUCUAUAUUUGUGGCAACCUUUAUUUUCCGGUGAUAUUUUGUAUCGGCAUUAAUAUAAUAUUGUUAACUUUAAAUGUUGUUAUUAUUUAAUGAAAUAUUGUACCGUGUUUUGCUAUUUUA